AAGAAGGCCUUCGGGUCGUAAAGCUCUGUCUUUGGGGACGAAGCAAGUGACGGUACCCAAGGAGGAAGCCCCGGCUAACUACGUGCCAGCAGCCGCGGUAAUACGUAGGGGGCGAGCGUUGUCCGGAAUUACUGGGCGUAAAGGGUGCGUAGGCGGCCUAUUAAGUCAGGUGUGAAAAACCUGGGCUUAACCGAGGUAUUGCACAUGAAACUAAUGGGCUUGAGUGCAGGAGAGGGAAACGGAAUUCCUAGUGUAGCGGUGAAAUGCGUAGAUAUUAGGAGGAACACCAGUGGCGAAGGCGGUUUCCUGGACUGUAACUGACGCUGAGGCACGAAAGCGUGGGGAGCAAACAGGAUUAGAUACCCUGGUAGUCCACGCUGUAAACGAUGGAUACUAGGUGUAGGUGGCGCUAGCCAUCUGUGCCGGAGUUAACGCAAUAAGUAUCCCGCCUGGGGAUUACGGCCGCCAGGUUGAAACUCAAAGG
rnacentral:rRNA from 1 species